rnacentral:lncRNA from 1 species
UCUGCCUCCCAAGAGCUAGGAUUAAAGGCGUGCACCACCACGCCCGGCAGGGUUGUGUUUUUAGAACUUUUGAGAGUGGUGAUGCCUAGCCUCAAAUGCAAGCCAUUAAAAUGAGAAAUGUUUCAUUAUUUGUAAGAAAGUUAGAAACUUUUUAUUUCACAGGUGAACUGUGUUCAUUUGUAGCAUUUGACUUUGCAGCAGCCCUAUGCAGGUCCUUAAAGCAGAAAAAGCAAGUCUGAGAGGACAUCCAGGUUUGUCCAGCUACUUACUAAACUACCUCCUAACUAUCAUGAUAUGAGUAUAGGUCUGACAUUUUCACAUGUUAUGAGCUGUCAAGUCUGAGGAGUUUUUGACUGAUUAGAGAUGAGUGAACUUUAGACACACUAAACUCCAACUGUCCUAAGGAUUAUUUUAAUACCAGGAAGGCCUUUUCUUCCAUUUUCAGACUAUGCAACCUGAAGCCCAGAGCCUUUUGUUUUUUUUUUCUCCACUUUACAGCUGAUUGAAGCCUCCCUCCAACCCUCCUCUCCUCCCAGGCACAACUUUACACCCUUCUCCCCAUUCCCCCUCCCCGUUUCCUCAGAGAAGGAGAGGCCGACCAUGGGUACAUCAAGUCAUAGUAAGACUAAGCUCAUCCUCUCCCACUGAGGCCAGACAAGGCGGCACAGCUAUGGGACAGGAAUCAAAAGGCUACAGCAGAGAUAGACAGCCCCUGCUCCAAUUGUUAGGGGGCUGACUUAAAGAACAAGCAGCACACCUGCUACAUAUGUGUAAGGGCACUAGGUCCAGCCCAUGCAUACUCUUUGUUUGGUAGUUCAGUCUCUGAGCCCUCAUGGGCCCAGGUUAGUUCACUUUGUAGGUGUUCUUGUGGUGUCCUAGACCACUCUGCCUCCUCAUUCCUUCCCUCUACUCUUCCAUAAAACUCCUGAGCUCUGCCUCAUUUAGCUGUGCGUCUCUGCAUCUGUUUCCAUCAGGUGAUGGAUGAAUACUCUCAGAAGACAGUUAUGCUAGGCUCCUGUCUGCAAGCGUAGCAAAUUACCAUUAUUAGUGUCAGGGGUUAGCAGAGCCCUUAUCUUACAACUCCUUGAAAAGCAUUCAGAUGCCCUCUGCCCCUUAUCUCAUCAGCUCCCAAUGCCUAUGCCUAAUCCUUGGCAGUGUCUUCUAAGCUUGGUGUAGUUAUCUGCAGAAGUUGGGAUGUUGGGAAGGCUCAGUACACCUGCAGUCCUGAGCCAGCAGUUUCUGUAAAGGCAUACUUUGUUUACCUGGCUUAGUAUCUGACCAGCCUCAACGUGAAGCCUCCUAAGGCAGACAGACUUAGGGCUAGCAGUCAUCUUGGGGUUCUUCCAGAACACUUUUUGUGCUUUGUUAUUCAUUGUACAAAACCCCAUCUAAUCUCUGCCAUUGCCAUUUAAGCAUUUCCAUUGUCACAAUGAUUGUUGACAGUAGCCUAGCCAUUUCUCUUCCUAGAAAAUUUCAUUGUGGUCCAAGUUUGUAUUCUCAUCUCACACAGAUUCAGUGAUCAAACACUUCUUCCUCCCAAACCCAUCACAUAUCAGCUCAUUCAGCUCACUGUUCUGGAUAAGAGUGGAGGAAAAUGGCGAGUGAUGGUGAUUCUUAGGUCUGGCUGCUACCAGAAUUAUCUGCGGUCUUCUUUUAAACAUGUAUCCAGGUCCCAACCCCAGGAUAUUGAUUUGCAAGGAAGUGAUCAAACGUGGCAGAUAUGUGUGCCGAUAAUACUCCACUCUUUCUGUUGGCCAUUAAAAUGAAUUAAAAUGGCAUUAAUGCAAAAGGACAAAAGGACAAAAAUAGGCAUGGGGUGGAAAGUAGGUACAGUAGUGGUAACUGGCAAGCUCAUUCUACAUCUUGCACAAUAUUUGUCUCAAGGUUAGGAUUUAACAUUCUUCUAAAAAGAAUGGUUUAAACGUGACCUGACAGUAGAACCAGCAGGAUAGCUUAACUGUUAAAAGCAUGAGCUCCUAAGCCUGACAACCUGAGUUUGAUCCCUGAAGGGUACCUCCAUGGCUGAAGGAGAAAACCAACUCCUGUAAGCUCUUCUUCAGCAUCCAUAUGGGAUACAUAUACACCCUGUGUGCACAUAGACAAUAUUUUUAAGACCUGAGGAUAAAGAACAUCAUCAUGAGAUUUCAGCACGCUAGGGAUUAUCCUAAAGCUUCAAGGGACAAAGUUUAAAUCAACUAGAAACAGAAACAUGAUUCCAGUGUUAUCAGUUUGGGACAUUUCUAGAUUCUUGAAACAGUAGAGGGAUACCUUCACAAAUCCACUUCCCAUGGAUAUCUCAGAAAGCAUUUGGAUCAUAGACUUGCCAAUAGGGACAUACACAGGAAAAAUAAAGCCGAGAGACCCAGGAAAGCUCUUGCGUAGGCAAGUCAGUUUACAAAACCCUGUGUCAACUUACUGGCCUAGAGGGUGCUUACCUGGGGGUAAAAAGCCUUAGGGAAAGAAAAUGAAACUAAUGAAUAAUGCGAUGUAUUUGCGGGUUUAUGAAAAUGGGCUGGAGAGAUGGCUCAGCAGUUAAGAGCACUGACUGCUGUUUUGAAGGUCCUGAGUUCAAAUCCCAGUAAAUAUAUGGUGGCAUAUAACCAUCCGUAAUGAGAUCUGACACCCUUUUCUGGUGAGUCUGAAGUCUAGCUACAGUGUACUUACAUAUAAUAAUAAAUAAAUCUUUUUUUAAAAUGAAAACAUACUGAUAGGCAUUUUUGUUGGUGUGUUACAACAUUGAGUAAGAUUGUGAUUUCAUUAUUAAAAAUGAAGGAAAAAAUAAGUCAGCUGUUAACUACAAGAACAGCUAUAUAAGUAAACUGUCAAUAAAAUUCUUGUCUUUGCAUGUAUCUCCAUGGUCAUAAUAGCAUAGAUAUUUGCUUUGCCUAGUAAUGUAAAGAAUAUAGGAAUCUGGUUCCACUUAGAUUUGUAUCAGACCUUCCUGGCUAUGUAGCACAUUGGUCAGGGCUGUUCAUUUACAUCAAGGAUAUAAGAGAGUGACAUAGGCCUUUGGAGCUGCUGCUGCUGCUGCUGUUAUCAAAGUUGUGGAUACCUUAAGUAGAGUCUGCUAGAAUAGCCUCUUCCUUCCAGUCCUAAUUAUUGACAAAGGUCAAGCUGGAGUCUCUCGGUUCUUCUCAACUAUUAUAAUAUGGCCCCUAGGUCUUAUUGUGAAAAGAGUCCUAGUUAUCUCAGAACAGUAGUCC